rnacentral:rRNA from 1 species
CCACACUGGGACUGAGACACGGCCCAGACUCUACGGGAGGCAGCAGUGGGGAAUAUUGGACAAUGGGCGAAAGCCUGAUCCAGCAAUGCCGCGUGAGUGAUGAAGGCCUUAGGGUUGUAAAGCUCUUUUACCCGGGAAGAUAAUGACUGUACCGGGAGAAUAAGCCCCGGCUAACUCCGUGCCAGCAGCCGCGGUAAUACGGAGGGGGCUAGCGUUGUUCGGAAUUACUGGGCGUAAAGCGCACGUAGGCGGCUUUGUAAGUUAGAGGUGAAAGCCUGGAGCUCAACUCCAGAAUUGCCUUUAAGACUGCAUCGCUUGAACGUCGGAGAGGUGAGUGGAAUUCCGAGUGUAGAGGUGAAAUUCGUAGAUAUUCGGAAGAACACCAGUGGCGAAGGCGGCUCACUGGACGACUGUUGACGCCGAGGUGCGAAAGCGUGGGGAGCAAACAGGAUUAGAUACCCUGGUAGUCCACGCCGUAAACGAUGAAGACUAGCUGUCCGGGCACUUGGUGCCUGGGUGGCGCAGCUAACGCA